rnacentral:rRNA from 1 species
GGUAGCCGGCCUGAGAGGGUGUCCGGCCACACUGGGACUGAGAUACGGCCCAGACUCCUACGGGAGGCAGCAGUGGGGAAUAUUGCACAAUGGGCGCAAGCCUGAUGCAGCGACGCCGCGUGGGGGAUGACGGCCUUCGGGUUGUAAACCUCUUUCAGUAGGGACGAAGCGCAAGUGACGGUACCUACAGAAGAAGGACCGGCCAACUACGUGCCAGCAGCCGCGGUAAUACGUAGGGUCCGAGCGUUGUCCGGAAUUACUGGGCGUAAAGAGCUCGUAGGUGGUUUGUCGCGUUGUUCGUGAAAUCUCACAACUCAAUUGUGAGCGUGCGAGCGAUACGGGCAGACUGGAGUACUGCAGGGGAGACUGGAAUUCC